CAUUAUUAAUGAUUAUUAACACUUUUGUUUAUUACUAUGUUUGGAAGGAAAGUGUUAUUUUCAUAGGAACGUAAUUUGGAAUGCGUUAUUUUUCAAAUGUAAAAACGUGGAACGGGAAAGGAUUUCUAUUUAUGAAAAACGUGAAAAAAAAAAUUUCCGUUCUCAAUAAGACGAAAAAAAACACGUUAUUUUGGUGAUAGUAACAUCUAAAAAUCAUUUAGUGUUGAUAUCAUUUCGUCAGUUACUAAUGAAUUACCACGAUAGCACAACGGUUAUUAAUUUUUUUUUUUGUUUUCGAGCACUGGAUAUAACCAUGAAAUAAAUUGAUUUUAAAUAAAUUGUCGAAUUUUUUUUCGAAUAAUUUGUUUUUAUUUUCAAUUUUUAGGAUAGGAAAUAAUUUUAUAAUUGAAUUUAUUAGAAUUUUAAAUAUUUAUUUAUUUAAUUUUAAUACCAAGCGGUUACUUAUAACAUAAAUAUUAAUAUAGAUUAAAGUAGUAUUUAUAAUAUUUAACUACAUAGUAAUGAUAUCUAGUAUUACAGUAGUUAAAAUUGCCACUAGGUUCGCUGCCUACUCAAUAUAGGAUCAGAAAUUGUACUAAUUGUACGGAUAUUAAUAGAAAAAUCACUAAAAUUAUGUAAAUUUCUCUGUCUUCUUUUUUUACUGUUAAAAUGCAUAGUGGUAGUAUUUAUAAUUACUUUAAGUAAUAAGUGACAAUUAUACUAUUUUAAAAAAAAUUUAAAACGUUUUUCAUUUUUUUUUUUUUUUGUUGUCUGACAAUUGAUUACUAUAAUUUCUACAGAAAAAACCAUAUUAGUAUUUAAAUAAAAUUGUAUAAUAUAUUUCAUGAGUCCAUGUUCAUGAUCCUCACAGUCAACAUUAUACCUAAUUUGUUAACCCUAGAAGUGGAGGAUAUCUAUUCACACCGACAAAAUACACUAAUGAAACUUGUUUAUAGCUUACAAACAGAUAAAUACAAAUAUUUUAAAAGAUUAUUAAUGCUUAAUAUUUCUCAAUAAUGAAUUAUUUCCUAAAUAUAACUAUCAUAAAUAUCAUUUGUGUAGGUUGUAAUAAAUAGAGUAAUUUUUGAAGGUAUUGGGUUUAAGUCUAAUGUUGACCGUAGCGAUCAUGAUAAAGAACUAAUGAAAUACAUUAUACAAUUUUCUGAAAAUACUAGAAUGAUUUUUAGUGUAAAAAAUAUAAUAACCAAGUAUCAGACCAAAAAUCUUUAGUAAAAAUGAAACCGUUUAUAAUAAAAUAAAUAUGUUUUAAUAAUAUAACAAUAUAAUAAACUAAUUAGCAAUAGUAAUUACGAGUACUACCUCCUAAUAUUAAUCUUAUCAAAAUAUAAAAUUGUAAAAGUAAUAGUUAAGUACUGGAACAUACUAAUUAGGUAGGCAGGCAUAUUAUAAUAAUCAUGACUAUUAUAAUAAGUAACUACUUUAUACUAUUAUAUUAUGUAAUUAUAUUUCUUUAUGAAAAGCAUAAUUUAUCUUUUAUAGUAAAAAAAACGGGAAAAUUUCCAUAAUUUUAGUAAUUUUCGAAUUAAAAUACACACGAAAAAAAUAAUUUCUGGCCCUGUAUCGAGUAAGCGGUGAACCUAGCAGUAAUUUUAACUGCAGUAUUGUUUUCACUUAAUUUAUUUUAGACCGUCACGAAAAAUAAUUACGCCCUAUUAAUCUACCUGAAAGGUAGGAUUACAGUAUUUUAAUGACUCUUGAUGAUUUCAUAAGUACAAAAUUUUAUAUUUAACCAUUAAAUGACAUUAAAUUUUAUUAUAAAAUAACUGAUUUUGUCUAAUUAAAAUCAACUUCAGUUGAAUAGGUAAUUUACAAAUUUGGCGAUUUAAACCUCUAGCAAGAACAUUUGGAUGAUCAGUCGACUACUACUAUAACGUAACGGGUAGCAAUUAUUACUGUCAACUGGAAUCAUACCUAUAUACUAAAUAUAAAUUGUUAAGACCGUAACGUUUAACCGAAUUAUAUUAAAAUCAAAAAUUUUGUGUCUCCUAAGAAUAUCCUAUUAUCCGCGAAUCUAUUUCGGAUUUAUUGCAAAUAUGCUGUUAAAAUUUAUCGUAUCGUAUGUUAUUAUUUAUUCUUUUAUGCCAGUGUCAGUACACGGUAUAGGUGAGUAUGCUCCUGAUCUGCCGCCUUUUCUCCCUGAAGAUCCGUAUUUCGAGGACC